rnacentral:rRNA from 1 species
UACAGAGGGGGCAAGCGUUGUUCGGAAUUACUGGGCGUAAAGGGCGCGUAGGCGGCCUUCUAAGUCGGACGUGAAAUCCCCGGGCUCAACCCGGGAACUGCGUCCGAUACUGGAAGGCUUGAAUCCGGGAGAGGGAUGCGGAAUUCCAGGUGUAGCGGUGAAAUGCGUAGAUAUCUGGAGGAACACCGGUGGCUAAGGCGGCACCCUGGACCGGUAUUGACGCUGAGGCGCGAAAGCGAGGGGAGCAAACGGG